rnacentral:lncRNA from 1 species
UCUCAUCAAAGGAAAGUACAUGGUUUGUGUUAAGUUCUUAGAAAAAAACGAAGUAAGCUUAGGUAGUCUUAUUACUGUCUAGGCAGACUCUGAAGCUGGGCGGCGUUGGGACCACUGAUUAUCAUGUUUCCACUCUAGCGGUGAUUUCUGCUGUUCUCCGAUUGCUCUGCUCGUGCCAAAUUAAGCAAGGUAAACAAAUGGAGACUUGAAGAAGACACCACAGUGGAGAGAGAUGUAAAGAGUAAAGAGCUAUGGUAAACCAUUCCCUCUGUCUAAUGGCCAGAAUCAUAAUCCUUAUUAUCUAUUGCCAACCAAACAUUGAUAUUUUUUUUGUAGAAAGGUCAUUGUUAAAAAUCUGCGUUGUUUUAAUAAGCUUUGUUGUGCCUAUUUUCCUUUAUAAGCCAAAGGACAGCUCAGAGAGAAGCUUUAGCUUGUGGAUACCACUGGGGCUCACCCUUGACCCGAUAGCCAAUCAUCAGAAUAGCAUGUCAAAAUGGUGUUUUCAUGCAAGAUGGAGGGCUGCACUGACUAGAGCUUUACGAUACAGCUCUUACCUGCUGGAGGUCGAUAAGCUAGGACAAAUAGAAUGGACGUUUUGAUCCAAAAACUUCCAUGCUGCCGGUCCACCUUGUCCUUUCCUUUGAUUCAAAUAACAGCAAUUUGUUUCAAUUGCUAGCUACUUCAACAAUUAAGACGAAAUCCACACUUGAUGUGUCAAUCAACACUCUAUGAUCUAACUGAAGUUAGAAGAUCUACAUCUCCAAUCCUCUUUUCCUUCUCUGUUCAACUCAACUGAGCAAAUAUUCGUGAGUACCUUCCUGCCCCACGAUAGACAAUAAGGAUACAAAGAUAAAGCAGUUCUGCCGGGGAGAUGCUCACGGCCUCUUAUCCGAGGAGGAAGGCGGUUGACACAGACUUAACCAAACACGUGCUAGUGCCUGCCUUGCUGGAACGUUGUAAAGAUUAAAUGAGAUAACAUAUGAAAAAAGCUUAGCAUGGGGGCACCUGGGUGGCUCAGUUGGUUAAGCGACCGACUUUUUAACAACAUUUUUUAACUUGAUUUAUUUAUUUUGAGAGAGCUAGAUAGAGAGCACUAGCGGGGAAGGGACAGAGAGAGGGAGAGAGAAAGCACCCAGCAGGCUCCGCACAAACAGCGCCGAGACCGACAUGGGGCUCAAACCCACCAACCGUGAGAUCAUGACCUGAGCCAAGAUCAAGGGCGCUUAACCAACCGAGUCACCCAGAUGCCCCAGCGACUGACUCUUGGUCUCGGCUCAAGUGGCCAUCUCACAGCUUGUGAGUUCGUGCCCCAAGUGGGGCUUCUCUGCUGAUAUCGCAGAGCCUAUUUGGGGUUCUGUCUUUCCCUCUCUCUGCCCCUCCCCUGCUUGUGCUCUCUCUAAAUUAAUUAAUUAAUUAAUUUUUAAAAAGGCCUAGCUUGGAGCCAGGCGCAGCAGUAGCUGGCUAAAAUGGUAUAAUGGGAUGUGGCAGGUGUCUCAUGGGUAGCCUUGGCUUCCUCACCCCUCCCCCACUUCCCUCCUCCCCCCCACAAACCACUACCCCCCCACACACACCACCAACACACCACAUGAGAUCAACAGCCCAUUGCCCCAUCUGCCAAACAGAUCCAGCCACACAGUAUUUCUUUUUCCUUUUGGCAGGUCAUUUAGAUUCUACCAAAAAUUUCACAAAAAGAGGGGAAGACAAUUAGAAAUAAAACGUAAUAAAAUCUCCAUGAGACACUUCCAUGCUUCACCUGAAUAUCUCCUCUCUAAGUCCCCCCACUUCAUUUCUUUACCCACCCCCCUCGCCGUCACCCCAGACAAAACCCCCUUCAUUGCUCUGAGCUCCAGUCCUUCCCACUCAGGAAGGAAAAGCAGCCUUAUAGUUUAGGGGCUCAGCCCCUUAGAGAUCCCUCAGUCUCCCUUUUAUCACAGAAGCAUGCCCCUUUGCUGUGGUUUUUGCGGGGGGAGGGGGAGUGGUUGUGGAAGGACUUCUCUCCCUUAUCAAAUUUUUCACCCAAGAAAAAGCAAAUCUGUUGUAAGCAAGAGGUUCGCUAUCACCCUUCUAAGAAAAUAAGAUUUCCUCCACACUUCCAGACUCAAAACCAAUAAGCACCAAAUUUCCUUGACACUGAAAAUCUCACCAUAUCAUCUCUUUAAUUAGGUGUCAACCAAGCUCUGGGGGCAGAGAAAGUGCUGGGCAAUUGGAAGUUUCUUUUCCUGGAUUUCCAUCCCUGAAUUGUGCUUUGGAUAAUGCUUCCAAGGGCAGGACCCCAGUCUUUCCAGCUUGCCCAGAACUUUGCUCUCUGACCCGUCCUGACCAUUCCAAUCCUCCCUGAAUACACUCCUACGAUCCGUGGACUUCACUCCCUUCCCAUGGUUUUGCUGGUGCAGCCAAGCAGAGCCGUGUUGCUUUAAGCAGAAAAGCUCAUAGUCUCCUUAGAGGCAUCCUGUGACUUUCUCCUGUUUCUAUCUGCUCUAUAUCCUCUCCCCUUCUAGCCCAUAGAAGCAGGAAGUUACACAGGCGCCACAAGGACUUCCCAGCAAAAUCUCCCUCUGCCACACGUACAGCCAUGAAGCUCUUGGUUCCAUUCACAACUUCCUCAGUAGAGGGAGGGUCAAACCUCUGUGAAUACCACACUGAGUAUUCUGGCUCUGUCUCGUGCCAUCAUACUCAAUACAACUGUGUGUCUCCUUUGAGUGUUGGACGCCUUAACCAUUAUGCAACAGUACAACAACUAAGGGGGUGUCGUUUCACAAUGUCGUUUGGCUGGAUUUUGUGAUUGGUUUAAUCGUAAUAGGAAAUGUCACUUUGUUGUGACUUUGAAUGAUUCUCACUCCCAGGUGGACCUCCCUCCGUUUGCACCCCAACUCUCUGGACCUUUGGGGUACCAGAAGGAAGAGACACAAAUGGGCUCCUGCUCCCAGAACCAAGGAGGUCUGAAAUAUUCUGCCUCAUGAACACACAUGCUCAUUUGGAAGCCUCAGAAGGACAGGAUGUGGUUCUUGGGAGUUUUUGCAAAUGCAGCCAGCCUAAGGAAAAAGCUUACGUUGCCUUAAAGCACAUAGACUCACGUUGCAACACCUAGAACCUCCCAGGGAGGCUCCCACCUUCUGGGAAGUUCUACCAAAACGCAAAAGUGAGGCGCAGCUCUCCAGCACGUCUGGGCAGCUACGCAGCUGCUUCUCUUGGCACCCAAUCAGAACUGGUUCCUCUUUUUCUCAUGCUAUCAAGAUGUUCCUUGUUUCCGAUAAUGACUGUUAAUAAUAAUAUUUACACGAACAAGCUUUCCUUUGUUCCAGAACAUCUCGGAGGGCUUCAGAACGAGUGCGCCACAAAUCCAGGGCCAGAUGUACUGAGAUGGAGCAUCCAGAGGGGUCCCC